rnacentral:sRNA from 1 species
UUGACAAUCCUAGAAUCUAACAGUCUUUUUAUCCAAAGAACUGGCACAGCAUGGUCAACAACAAUGCAAGUUUCUCACACUUCUCCAGCAGUGUACCUCAACAUGACUUGGAGAGACUGCCUCUGGGGGUGAGAAGGGAGUUCAGUCUUAUGCCCUUUCAGUCCACGGCUUGC